rnacentral:lncRNA from 1 species
UGAGAAUGCACCACUGCACUCCAGACUGAGUGACAGAGCAGGAUUCCAUCUGAAAAAAAAAAAUAGGAAGAGGAAACCUCUAUGUUGAGUACGCCUGACUUCCAGAUAUGCUUCCUUAUGAACUGACGGUGACUCCCAAAUUCAUAUGUUGAAGACCCAACUCCCAACGGACUUGGAGGUGGGCCUUUGAGAAGUAAUUGGGUUUAGAUUAAGUCAUAAGGGUGGAGCCCCCUUGAUGGUAUUAAGUCCUUCUAAGAAAAGGAAGAGAGUCUGAGCUCUCCUCUGUCUCCACCAUGUGAGGGCACAGAGAUGUAUGCUUCUUGGAUUUUGUUUUUAACUCAGUAUGAAAAACAUAUAUUUUAAUAAGAAAAUUACCCCAUUCAUUGUUAGUGUGUUUAUUGAUAAUGUUGGACUUACUUGUGCCAUAUUUAAGAAAUCCUCUUUCAUCCUUCCCAUGCUUUCUUGUUGUUUUUUUAAUGCAAGUGCAUGAUAAGGUUUAGGGAUCACUUUUUUAACAGGUCCACGAAGGGCUAGAUAAGGGAAGCUGGUUUGCGUUCAGGGAAGCGGCAGAGGAGGGAAGCUGGCAGCUGGGCUGUGCUAAGAUGACCUUAGCCCCAGACCCUGGAUGAACAUCCUCUUCUGGAUACAGGACCUGCCCGAGGCAUCAUUUUGAAAUAGUCAAAUUUUAUUUGCUUUGUGUUCUUUCAUCACAUAUAUUAGCUUUUGCCUCUUGAGUGCCAAAAUAUAGCUGUUUUUAUAUUACCCCAAGUUCCUGAGUUUAUUUUUUAGGUAAGAAUUUUCCACCCUUUGAAAUCCCAAAUGACAUGUUUACUCUCUUUCUCAGACCAUGCUUUCAUUUCAGUCAAUGUAACAAAUCAGCCAGGUCUCAGGAGUUUAGAAAUCUGAUUGGAUUGAUUUAUACUAAGCGGUAACAGAUCUACCACAGCCUUCUAAGAUGAAUUGGAGUUUCUUAAAAACUCCAUGACCUACACUAUUCUUUAGGUGCUGGAAUUGCACACUUUCAAAUCACAUCAAGUAUAAACAUUCAAUUUUGUGGGGGGUUAUUUUCUAUGGAGAGAUGAGGUGUUGAUUAAUACUGGUAGGCUUUACUCCAAAAGACAAUUCUAUUAAGAUUUCUUUUGUUUUUUAAAAUCUAGACUAUCAGAAGGAGUAAAAAUGCCAAUUUUUUUUUUCUUUUUGCUGUGGCUACAAUGUUCACAGUAAUCCAAGCUCCAAUGACAGGGGGGGAGAGCGGAGCCAAAUGAGGCCCCGUUUUUUUCAUGAAGUGUAUUUUUCUUUUUUUUUUUGAGAUCAGGGGUUCAGAAAUUGUAAUAUAAGUGUUCAAUUAUAAAGUUAUUAUGAUAGUGCAUGGCACGUGUCCUUUCCAUCAUCUGGAUUUUUCCACUUUUACUGUAUGGCUCACUCUUACUCACUCUCCAGUCUUCACCUUAGUGGUCACUUCCCCCUGAAAUGCCCUUGACCCCUUAAGAUAGCAGUGCUGCAAACAUCGUAAGCUGAAUUUAUAGCCAGACUCACAGGCAACACCUUAUCUUGUGCCAUGCUUCACUAAUGAUGAGGAAGUGAGAAAGAGUAGGGGAAAGGAGGCACAACAAAUGUCAUUUCCAUAACAGAGGCCUCAAGGCCAGCCCACUUGAUUCUCUGGAGAUCCUUUUCUGCAUAACAAUGAUGAAAGGUAGCCUAAGAAAGCCAUUUGUCUGAGGCUUCACCUUUGAUACCUUGCUAGACACUAAACUAAGAGACUGAUUCCAUUCUUUAGUAUAGCCAUUGCCUCAUAAAUCCAUACAUAACAGGGGUAUUUCUUUCCAAUAAAGUAUCCAUAUAGAUUAGGUAUAUUCUAUUGACAAUUUUAUUAAAGUUCUUCAUUUAUCUUCCAGAUAGUAGAUUCUAUCAACCAAGUUUCAUAAAGAGUUCUGAUUCCCAGAGGUAAGAACUGAGCCUGGCUUUCUAGUUACAUGUUUAUUGGUAACUCUGUCCUUCCCUACAACACUUAAGCAUAUUUAAAGACUAUACCCUCCCCUGCCUCCAGCUUGGAUUGUAAGCUCCUCAAGAGCAUGGCUGUGUCCUUUAACAUCAAGUCUCCAUGUGAGAAAGAGUUCCUGCCAUAUCACAAAUGCCCAAUCAACAUUUGUAAGUGAAGAAAGCUAUUCUGUGGUGUCUGCUUUAAUAUUAAGAGAUGGCUUGCCCAAGAUUGCUAAGCAGCUUCAUUGUCUACAAUGGAACAAGAUUCUGUGGGUAGCAGUUCCAUUGGUGCCACUGACAGGAGGCCUCAAGGAAACCUAGUGCACUAGUCUUUCUGAUGACGCCUUGAUUUUCUUCCAGCACAGAGCCGUAAAAUGGAAUAUUCUUCUGACACAGAUACUUCAUGCAUCGCAUGAUCAGCCGUGUCCCAUUGCCUCUCCUUCGGUAUUUUUCCACACUGUAGCCCAUUCCUAUUUCACAAGAAGGGUCCAUGGUUACCCAUGAGACCGGGACCCCCUCUGGGCCCAGCAUACAGGCUGCUGGCAGGGCUCCUAGGCAGCGCUUGAUGUAACGCAGGCUCCUCUUAUUCAUCCCUAGCUUCCAGUUGUCAUUUACCAGCCCAGAAUAAGACACAUUCAGCUGGGCAUACUUAAAGUUCGGAGUCUCGCUGUAGAAAACAAAAAGAAAGACAACAACUUUCAUCCCCACUCCUGUAAUUUCUAGGUGCCCUUCCAUUCUAGAGAUCCCAGGCCCUCUUCUUGUUAAAAGACCCACCAUUGCAAAGUGGCGUAUUUUGACCACUGACAACCUUUAUUCAUCCCAAGGAAUGAAUUCAUCCUCUCUUCAUUCCAAAACUGAUUUAUGUGAAUUACAAAAAUGUACAAGGAAUAGCAAUUAUAAAUGAUCAGCACAUGUUUUUUGUACCUCUCCAAUUCGUCAUCUGGGUGGCCUGUCUCAGCCCAGCUUCCAAGCUUGCUUUUAUUGGUGGCAUAGAGCUUCAGGAUAUCUUCCGUAACAAAGAGGAGUGCUCUCGAAUGCUCUACCUUCACUGAAUUUGAAAAUGCAGCUGCUCUUAUCCCCUCACCUAAACUUUCUUGAAAACCUGAGAGAAAGCCAAGAAAGCAAUAUUGUCAGACAUGCAGUUCUCUACUUACACUGCUCACACCUGAUUAAUGCCUCAGUGCUUAGUAGUUCUCAAAGUUGAGUUUACACCACAAUCAGCUAUAGUCCUUGGCACACCACAGAUUGCUCCACCUCUCCCAGCUCUGAGAAUUUCAAGGAAUUUACAUUUCUAAUGAGCUCUCAGGUGAUGCUAAUGCUGUUAGUUGAAGACACAAUUUGAGAAGCACAGCUGCUUGCCCAUUUCUUCAGACUUGUUACCUUGGAUUUGGAGUUUCUGUUUCCAGUUUAUGAUCUCAGAAUUUUUCAAAACUUCUUGUGAUUUUUGAGGGUCUUUGGAGAAUACACGAUAUACAUUAGUGUAUGAAUCCAUGUCAUCAGUCAUCUCCUGUGUAGGAUGGUGAAAGGUCAGAUCAUUCCCUUGAACUUUUUCUUCUCCUCUCACUGAUUGCAAUUAUUAGAAAAAUGAAAAUUCAAAAGAAAGUUUUAGCACUAGCCCACGAUGGCUGCAGUUGGGCACGUGGAUAAUAUAAGUGAGACCUAUAAGCUACUGCUGACCUCUUACCUGUGUAACUGGAGUUUGUUAAAUAUUGAACACUGACAGUUACUGGUUAUAAACCUGCUUCUCAGAUACAUAACAAAGACAGGAUGAAAUCAGUCACCCUCCACCAGGCCUUAAGAUGCCUCACUUUUCUCCCUACCCACUCAACUGCACACUUACCUUAUUUUAUAUAUAGCAUCACAGAGCGCCCAGCAGAAGCAAAGGAAUGCAACAAUUGCUUCUCUCCCUGCUUCUCUCACCUCCUGGACCACACAUAUCCCCCUGUUAUAUAUACUGUGCCCCACAUAACCCCCUGUGGGACAUAUUCUGGGUUGUACUGAGUCCGUGUUGAUAGGGUUAAGUUCUUAAGCUCGGCACAAGAUGAAUUUAACCAUGAUUUCUCUAAGUUAUAGUGCCUACUGUUUCACCAGACACCUACAAUCUAUAUUGUUCUAGAAUCUGCAGUGUCCAGGGUUUGAGCAAGAUACUUUAGUGAAUAUAAACAUUAAGGAGACAUUGCCUUUUCCCAAGGCUACAGGAUAUCAGCCUCUUUGAAGAGUGACAUGGCCUUUACAGCCAGAAGCCCACAAAAUAGAAUGAAGUAACUGAAUUUUCCGUAGCACUCUGCGCAAUUUAUGUGGUGUUAGACUCAUGGGUUUUAAAGAAAGAUACUUGUGAUCUCAUUCUCACAAGCCACAAACUUCAUGGGACGAUGAGUAUCUGUUUAUCAGGGGAAAUAUAAACAAUAAGUGUGAGUUUUAGCAGUGCAUGUAUUAAUAUUAUGUUGAAAAUUGUAUUGUUAAGGAGUAAAAGAGAAAAUAGUGUAACUAAUUUUAAAGAAACCUUCAAGAAUUUGAGGAUGCUUUUAUAAAUGCAAGUUCCUGAAUAUGGCCAAAACACAACACCUCAGUGAAUUUAAAAGAGUAGAUGUUUUAAAAGACCGGAUUUUAAAAGAAUGACUGAACAUAGCCAAGUAAAUAUUCAAAGAAUUAUAAAAAGAAUAUCAAAGUAGACUAGAAAAUAACAAAUGGAACAAUUUGUAAAAAUGAAAGCCAUAAAUAAUGAAAUGUAGAACAAGACACAGUGCAAAUGAUAUAUAAAGCCAAAAGUUCAUUUUUAAAUGGCAAAAAGAAAGAGCAGAAGAGAGAGAGAGAUAAACUUCUGGUAAGGCAUUUAAAGGAAAUAGAAGAGAAAGAGAAAAAAGAAAAAAAAAAGGCAUAGAGUAUGAGCCAUGAGAAUGGAAACAGAAAAGGAAAAAGACUUAUAAUAGAAGAUUAUAUACUACUCCAAGGCAACAUAUUCACUGAUAAAGAAAUGGAUGUUAUCCCUCAAGAAUAAACUAUCAAAAUUGACUUUCAAAAAAUAGAAAACUUCAAUGAACUAAUAGAAAUAUCGGAAAUGAAAUGAAAUAUCUACCAUUUGAAAAGUGGACAAGAAUUAUGGCUUCCAGCUCCAUCCGUGUUGCUACAAAGGACAAUAUUUUAUUCUUUUCUAUUGCUGUGUAGUAUUCCAUAGGAAUACAUGUACCAAGUUUUUUUAUCCAAUGCACCUUUGAUGGGGAUCUGUGAUGAUUCCAUGUCUUUGCUAUUGUGAACAGUGCAGCAAUGAACAUCCUAGUGCAUGUGUCAUUUUGGUAGAACGAUUCAUUUUCUUUUGGGUAUUUACCUAGUAAUGGCAUUGCUGGGUCGAAUGGCAACUCUCUUUUAAGUUCUCUAAGAAAUUUCCAGACUACUUUCCACAGUGUAAUAAUCCUAAGCAAAUUAAUGCUGUAACAGAAAAUCAAAUAUCACGUUUUCACUCAUAACUGGGAGCUAAGCAUUGAACAUACAUGGACAUAAAUGUGAGAACAAUAGACACUAUGGACUCUAGAGGGUGGAGGGAAAGGGGCUGGGUUAGAAAACUACCUAUCGGGUACUAUGCUCACUACCAGGGUGAUGGGAUCUGUCCAUACUCCAAGACUCAGCAUCAUGCAAUAUUUGCGUGUAACAAAUAUGCACAUGUACCCCCUUUAUCUAAAAGGAAAGUUGAAAUUACAAACUAAAAAGUAGCCAAAAUUAGAUUAUUUUACAUUUCAAUUCUACAUAAGGCAAAACCAAACACAUAAUUUUAAUAGUAGACUUUGGUAACAGAUGAAAAUAUCCUAAUGCCAAAUCUGGUAAAGAAAUAACAAAAAGAGAGUUACUGACCAUAUUGGCUUAUGAAUACAGAUGCAAAAAUUCUGAAUAAAAUAUUCAGUAGCAUAUGAAAAGAAUGUGAACAUGAACAGUUUGUUUUAGAAAGGCCAGAAUGAGUUUGAUCAGAAGAUCUUUUAGGGUAAUAAAUUAAAGGAGGAAAAAAUUACAUGAGUAUAUAAAUUGCCAUAAAAAGACAAAAAUGAAAUAACAUAAAAUCUACCGUUCAUUCUAAAUAUAAUUUCUAUGAAAAUGGGAAAACAGGAAAGUGCUCUAAGCCUGUAAAGACAGAAUUAAAUGUAAUUCCAAAGGUAAGUUUUUAUAGCUAUUUCAUUAAAAUCAGGAAUGAGACAAGGAUAGAACUUUUAUUAUGGCUACUUGGUAUUGUUUUCUUAGGUUGUACAUUAUACAAUAAGGCAAGAAAGUAAAAACCCAUACAAAUAUUGGCAAAGAAGCAGCAAAUUACUUUGUUUAUAGAUUACAGUAUUACACAUUUAGAAAAUAUAAGAGACUUCGACAGAAAACAAAAACAAAUAACACCCCAGGCAAACAAAGAAGAUUUUAAAGCAUAGUGUGACAUAUUUGGAAAUGAAGAAUAUAAAUAGAAAGCAAUAACAAAAUAAUAAUGCUCAGAAAUAGAAAAGGAAAAAUAAUUUAAUAAUCUUAAAAAAUAAUAUAAAAUACCUAAGGGUAAACUUAAUGGAAAAAUCACGUAGUUUACCUCAGGAAAACACUAAUAUUUUACCAGAUGGCAUAGAACAGAAACUGAAAAAAGUGAGAGAAAGACCAUAUUUCUUGAUAAAAAUAUUUAGUAUCACAAAAAUAUUAAUGCUUCCACAAUUGUCUAAAAAAGCUCCUCCAAUACAAAUCACAAUUGCAAUACUUAGUUGGGGAAAUUGGGGAACUGAAAAAUUAGUUUUUGUUCAUAUAGCUCUGAAGUUUAUAAGAAAUAGGAAAGCAAGAAAAAGAUUAGUGAAGGGUGAUUUGCUUUAUUAGAUAUUAAAAUUUGCCACAAAACAAUGAAAUAGCAUGAGAAAAGAUUAGAAACAAAUACAGAAAUAGCUACAAAAAUAUAUAAAAGUUAUAUGACAAAAUAGACAUUUAUGUUUCAGUAGCAGAAUGACUUACUUAAUAAAUAGCACUAACGUAAUUAGCCAGCCAUUCGGGGGAUAAAUAUAAAAGAAUGUUAAUUCAUGCUAUUCAAAAAUAUAUUCCAAAUAGAAUGAAGUUUGAAAUGUCAAAAGUAAAAAUUAACUCACUGUAAGACAAAAUGAAAAAAACAACUUGUACGAUCUUGGUUUAGGAAAAAUCUUCCUAAUUAUUAACAAAAAAACUCCCAAAGCCUCAGGAAUCAUAGUGAAAAAGAUAAUAUAUUUGAUUACAUGAAAAUUAAAAAUUGCUUCAUGUGAAAAUCUAUCAAAUUAGAAAAUAAUUCUAAAUUGGGCAACAAAUUUGUAGCAUACACCUUGUGUUAGUAUCCCUCAUAUCCAAAACACAUAGAGAAUUUUAAGAAUGACACAAAAUCCCAGUGUAAAAAUGGUCAAACAAUAUAAACAGUUCAGAAGUAAACCCAAAAUGACUGAUAAUCAUAUGAAAAUAUAUGUUGAAUAUCACUAGUCAGGGAAAUGCAAAUUAAAUCUACAAUAAGAUGCCACUUUUCACCCACCAGUUUGGCAUAAAGUAGAAGAAGGAUAACAUUCACUGCUGAUGAGAAUGUGGGAAACAAUUCUUCCACAGAUUGCUAAUGGAAAUAAUACUGUGGAAUCCUUUGGGAGGGUAGUCUGGCAGUGCCUACUUAGGAUAAGAUAAGCUCUGACUUGGACUUAUCCCUUUUGGAAACCAAUUGCAUUGAGAAAAGUUUCCAGGAUGUAAAGACAUGUAUACAAGGAUGUUUAUUGAAGCAUUGUUUGUAAUGGCAAAGAAGUAUGAACAAUUUGAACCCAACAGGAGGAGAAUGACUGACUAAAUAGCAUUGCAUUGACUCUAUGGAACGCCACAGUUAUUAAAACAAAUAUGUUAGUGCUGUAUUGAUUCACUCAAAGCAAUGUCCAUAUGUCAAAGGCAAAUUAAAAAGCGAUUACAGAAGAGAUCAUAACUGAAUAUCCGUUUGUGUGUUAAUAUGGCCAAGGACACCGAUUACCCCAAAGGGUAGGAAUGGAGGAGAGGAGGGCAAAGAGGUGAGAGGUUAUUAACUUCUUAAAAUCAUGUUGAAUUUUUCCACUUCUAUAAUCAGCAUAUAUUAUCUUUCUGAUUAGGAACCAACAAAGAAAAAUUAAUAUUUUUCUAGAGAAAUUCUCCUGCAUCUCACCUUAAAAAGGUCUUCUUCAAAAUUGCAUUGAUUUUCAAUACUGAAAGAAACAUGGUAUACUAUGGAAUCAGACUAAGUGAAUGUAUUUCCAAGUAAAUUGCAGCAUAUUUCAUUCUUUCCAUUUUUUUGGUCAUAUAUGUGUGGCAUGGAACUUUUAUAUUUUAAUAUUUUUGUUUGCUGACUCACUAUAUAAAAACUAGCCUUGUUCAAAGCAAUGCAUAUAUGAAGUUACAGCUUGAUGGUACAGUUACAUUGUUAAAAUACACAUAGUGACUACAAAGUUACUGAAGUAAAAAGAACUAUUUGGUUCAUACAGUUAUUUAGCGUAUGACACUUUGAAGAAAUUGGACCAUGGAUCAAGUAAACUAACCAUUAAUCAUCGAUCCGAAAUUGUCAGGAAACCAGGAGAUCAAAAGAACAUCCCUGGGGAAGGUAUUAGGCUCAGCUUAUUAUUAUGUGGGGGCUCAGUGUCUAUACCCACCUGAAGCUGGGCUGGCCAUGAGGCUUCAGUUCACUAAUCAGAUGUGCAUGAAACAGACACAAAAAGGGGAAGUCUUUAGGGCCAAAAAAUAGACCUAGGUUUGUAUUACUAUUUCAGCUUAAUCGUGUAUUCCUUGUGUGUCCUCGGCCAAUAAUGGCUAAUUAUGGUAAAUACUAUUUAGAAUUAUGUGCUAUAUACUAAGUGUUUGACAUGUGGUAUCUCAUUUAAACCUUGUGUAAUCCUCUGAAGAAUGUCCUCCUAUUUUUCCCAUUUUAACAGAUGAUAAAACUCACAGAAGGGCCUAUGGUUAUAUAGCUAGUAAAAGUGGCAGAGUCCGUUGAACUUGAAUUCAGAUUGGGGAAUGCUUUAACAGAUGGUAUCCAGCAGCUACCUGACUGAAUAUUUCUCAGUGUUGUUUCCUCAUCUCUAAAUUAAAGAUAUUAAAGCUCA